CGUAACACGUAUGCAACUUACCCAUAACUGGGGGAUAGCCCGGAGAAAUCCGGAUUAAUACCCCAUAAUACUGUUGAAAGGCAUCUUUUGACAUUUAAAGAUUUAUCGGUUAUGGAUGGGCAUGCGGCUGAUUAGCUAGUUGGUGAGGUCACGGCUCACCAAGGCAACGAUCGGUAGGGGGUCUGAGAGGAUGAUCCCCCACACUGGUACUGAGAUACGGACCAG
rnacentral:rRNA from 1 species